rnacentral:tRNA from 1 species
GCCUGGGUGGCUCAGUUGGUUGGGCGUCUGACUUCAGCUCAGGUCAUGAUCUCACGGUUCGUGAGUUCAAGCCCCACGUCAGGCU